rnacentral:rRNA from 1 species
GGUUAAGCGACUAAGCGUACACGGUGGAUGCCCUGGCAGUCAGAGGCGAUGAAGGACGUGCUAAUCUGCGAUAAGCGUCGGUAAGGUGAUAUGAACCGUUAUAACCGGCGAUUUCCGAAUGGGGAAACCCAGUGUGAUUCGUCACACUAUCAUUAACUGAAUCCAUAGGUUAAUGAGGCGAACCGGGGGAACUGAAACAUCUAAGUACCCCGAGGAAAAGAAAUCAACCGAGAUUCCCCCAGUAGCGGCGAGCGAACGGGGAGGAGCCCAGAGCCUGAAUCAGUGUGUGUGUUAGUGGAAGCGUCUGGAAAGGCGCGCGAUACAGGGUGACAGCCCCGUACACAAAAAUGCACAUACUGUGAGCUCGAUGAGUAGGGCGGGACACGUGGUAUCCUGUCUGAAUAUGGGGGGACCAUCCUCCAAGGCUAAAUACUCCUGACUGACCGAUAGUGAACCAGUACCGUGAGGGAAAGGCGAAAAGAACCCCGGCGAGGGGAGUGAAAAAGAACCUGAAACCGUGUACGUACAAGCAGUGGGAGCCUCUUUAUGGGGUGACUGCGUACCUUUUGUAUAAUGGGUCAGCGACUUAUAUUCUGUAGCAAGGUUAACCGAAUAGGGGAGCCGAAGGGAAACCGAGUCUUAACUGGGCGUUAAGUUGCAGGGUAUAGACCCGAAACCCGGUGAUCUAGCCAUGGGCAGGUUGAAGGUUGGGUAACACUAACUGGAGGACCGAACCGACUAAUGUUGAAAAAUUAGCGGAUGACUUGUGGCUGGGGGUGAAAGGCCAAUCAAACCGGGAGAUAGCUGGUUCUCCCCGAAAGCUAUUUAGGUAGCGCCUCGUGAAUUCAUCUCCGGGGGUAGAGCACUGUUUCGGCAAGGGGGUCAUCCCGACUUACCAACCCGAUGCAAACUGCGAAUACCGGAGAAUGUUAUCACGGGAGACACACGGCGGGUGCUAACGUCCGUCGUGAAGAGGGAAACAACCCAGACCGCCAGCUAAGGUCCCAAAGUCAUGGUUAAGUGGGAAACGAUGUGGGAAGGCCCAGACAGCCAGGAUGUUGGCUUAGAAGCAGCCAUCAUUUAAAGAAAGCGUAAUAGCUCACUGGUCGAGUCGGCCUGCGCGGAAGAUGUAACGGGGCUAAACCAUGCACCGAAGCUGCGGCAGCGACGCUUAUGCGUUGUUGGGUAGGGGAGCGUUCUGUAAGCCUGUGAAGGUGUACUGUGAGGUAUGCUGGAGGUAUCAGAAGUGCGAAUGCUGACAUAAGUAACGAUAAAGCGGGUGAAAAGCCCGCUCGCCGGAAGACCAAGGGUUCCUGUCCAACGUUAAUCGGGGCAGGGUGAGUCGACCCCUAAGGCGAGGCCGAAAGGCGUAGUCGAUGGGAAACAGGUUAAUAUUCCUGUACUUGGUGUUACUGCGAAGGGGGGACGGAGAAGGCUAUGUUGGCCGGGCGACGGUUGUCCCGGUUUAAGCGUGUAGGCUGGUUUUCCAGGCAAAUCCGGAAAAUCAAGGCUGAGGCGUGAUGACGAGGCACUACGGUGCUGAAGCAACAAAUGCCCUGCUUCCAGGAAAAGCCUCUAAGCAUCAGGUAACAUUAAAUCGUACCCCAAACCGACACAGGUGGUCAGGUAGAGAAUACCAAGGCGCUUGAGAGAACUCGGGUGAAGGAACUAGGCAAAAUGGUGCCGUAACUUCGGGAGAAGGCACGCUGAUAUGUAGGUGAAGCGACUUGCUCGUGGAGCUGAAAUCAGUCGAAGAUACCAGCUGGCUGCAACUGUUUAUUAAAAACACAGCACUGUGCAAACACGAAAGUGGACGUAUACGGUGUGACGCCUGCCCGGUGCCGGAAGGUUAAUUGAUGGGGUUAGCGGUAACGCGAAGCUCUUGAUCGAAGCCCCGGUAAACGGCGGCCGUAACUAUAACGGUCCUAAGGUAGCGAAAUUCCUUGUCGGGUAAGUUCCGACCUGCACGAAUGGCGUAAUGAUGGCCAGGCUGUCUCCACCCGAGACUCAGUGAAAUUGAACUCGCUGUGAAGAUGCAGUGUACCCGCGGCAAGACGGAAAGACCCCGUGAACCUUUACUAUAGCUUGACACUGAACAUUGAGCCUUGAUGUGUAGGAUAGGUGGGAGGCUUUGAAGUGUGGACGCCAGUCUGCAUGGAGCCGGCCUUGAAAUACCACCCUUUAAUGUUUGAUGUUCUAACGUUGGCCCCUGACCGGGGUUGCGGACAGUGUCUGGUGGGUAGUUUGACUGGGGCGGUCUCCUCCUAAAGAGUAACGGAGGAGCACGAAGGUUGGCUAAUCCUGGUCGGACAUCAGGAGGUUAGUGCAAUGGCAUAAGCCAGCUUGACUGCGAGCGUGACGGCGCGAGCAGGUGCGAAAGCAGGUCAUAGUGAUCCGGUGGUUCUGAAUGGAAGGGCCAUCGCUCAACGGAUAAAAGGUACUCCGGGGAUAACAGGCUGAUACCGCCCAAGAGUUCAUAUCGACGGCGGUGUUUGGCACCUCGAUGUCGGCUCAUCACAUCCUGGGGCUGAAGUAGGUCCCAAGGGUAUGGCUGUUCGCCAUUUAAAGUGGUACGCGAGCUGGGUUUAGAACGUCGUGAGACAGUUCGGUCCCUAUCUGCCGUGGGCGCUGGAGAACUGAGGGGGGCUGCUCCUAGUACGAGAGGACCGGAGUGGACGCAUCACUGGUGUUCGGGUUGUCAUGCCAAUGGCACUGCCCGGUAGCUAAAUGCGGAAGAGAUAAGUGCUGAAAGCAUCUAAGCACGAAACUUGCCCCGAGAUGAGUUCUCCCUGACUCCUUGAGAGUCCUGAAGGAACGUUGAAGACGACGACGUUGAUAGGCCGGGUGUGUAAGCGCAGCGAUGCGUUGAGCUAACCGGUACUAAUGAACCGUGAGGCUUAACCUU